CUUUUUUGGCAGUGCACAGCCAGAGGACAACACAUCACACACAAGAAACAGUUGUGCUCAUGUGAUGGGGGCCUCAGCACUAGGAAGGAGUGGACUGUUGGCGCACGCAGCAGCUUGAAUAAAUCUGAAAGUCACUACGCUGCGUAAGAGAAGCCAAAUAAAGCGCAUGCUGUGUACAGAGGGUGUCGAGAAUGCCUCCUACGUGACGGAAAGCAGAUCCGUGGUUCCCUGCAGACUGGCAGGAGCAGAUUCCAAAGGCACAGGAAGAAGCUUGCAGUACAAAGAUAAAAAUCUAAAGUGGUUGCUGUGGAGGACAGGGGUCAGUGGUGGAAGUGAGACCGAAAUAGACUCUGAAGUAAUAUCUGGACUUUGAAAUUGUUUCCUUAAUGACAACAAAAAAGGGAGUAAUCCUACCCACUGUAAGAGUCAUGACUCUUGAUUGCAGCUGACAGAAACUCAUGACAGCCUGCUUUAGAUGAAGGGGGAGAGAAGGACUGGAAGAAUCUUGGAGUUGGGAAUGUCACACGUAAUUGAAGGAAGAACAAGAAAACUAUAGCAGCUGCUCCCAACCCCAGAACCUUUGCUGUCUUGGGACGGAUCACCACUGCAAGAGGGGAAGUUGCUACUGUGAUGAAUUCUGCCAUGUGGCACCAGACUGCCACCCAGACCACAGUGUCCUCUGCAACCCUGGUAACUCACAUACAGGCCCGAUUCCACCGACAGCAAAGCUGGAUGCUAUGGCUGGCAGAGGCAAACCCUUUGCCUGCACUUCAGGCCAAAGCCGGGAUGUGGCCUAGAUGGUUCCUAAGGUCCCUGACAAUCCUGAGAUCUUGCAUCUUGUCUAUUUCAGGUCAAAGCUUCUCAGAUGACCAAGAUGGUGCUGCAGAUGGUGCUGAGGAUGGAGAACCCACCAAGCCC
rnacentral:misc_RNA from 1 species